AAGUCGUAACAAGGUUUCCGUAGGUGAACCUGCGGAAGGAUCAUUAAUGAAUAGACUCUUUAUCUUUCCACCUGUGCACCUCUUGUAGAUCUGGAGACCAUCCAAUUGACUCUGAGGAAACUCAGUUUUGGGGUUUGUAGGUGCUUCUGCAGCUUCUGCUCUCCCUGGGUAGCCGGGUCUAUGUUUUUUCUCUACAUACACCAUAGAAAUGCAACAGAAUGUCAUUGAAUGGGUCUUUGAACCUAUAACAAAAGUUAUACAACUUUCAGCAACGGAUCUCUUGGCUCUC
rnacentral:misc_RNA from 1 species